ensembl:snRNA U6 U6 spliceosomal RNA
GUUCCCUCCAGCAGCACAUAUACUAAAACUGGAACAAUACAGAGAAGAUUGGCAUGGUCCCCGUGCGAGGGGGAGGUGCAAAUCUGUGAAGUGUUCCAUACUGAA